rnacentral:rRNA from 1 species
UACGUAGGUGGCAAGCGAUACUCGGAAUCACUAGGCGUAAAGCGCAGGUAGGCGGUUUGGUAAGUCUCUUGUGAAAGCUCCCGGCUCAACUGGGAGAGGUCAAGGGAAACUGCCAGGCUUGAGUGUGGCAGAGGAAGCUGGAAUUCCCGGUGUAGAGGUGAAAUUCGUAGAUAUCGGGAGGAACACCUGUGGCGAAGGCGGCCAUCUGGACGUCAACUGACGCUGAGACGCGAAAGCAUGGGGAGCAAACAGG